rnacentral:rRNA from 1 species
UACAUGGGGUGCAAACGUUGCUCGGAAUUAUUGGGCGUAAAGAGCGCGCAGGCGGUCGUUCAAGUCGCGUGUGAAAGCCCCCGGCUCAACUGGGGAGGGUCACGCGAUACUGAUCGACUCGAAGGCAGGAGAGGGUAGUGGAAUUCCCGGUGUAGUGGUGAAAUGCGUAGAUAUCGGGAGGAACACCAGUGGCGAAGGCGACUACCUGGCCUGUUCUUGACGCUGAGGCGCGAAAGCUAGGGGAGCAAACGGG